GCGGGUGUAGCUCAAUGGCAGAGCUCCAGCUUCCCAAGCUGAUAACGUGGGUUCGAUUCCCAUCACCCGCUCCA
rnacentral:tRNA from 1 species